GCAUAGCUCAGUUGGCAGAGCGAUGCUUUCGUAAAGCAAAGGUCGUGGGUUCGAUUCCCUCUGCG
rnacentral:tRNA from 1 species